rnacentral:misc_RNA from 1 species
CUGGAGCAGGGAAGCCGAGCACGGCUGGGCUGGAAGCUUCAACGGCUGGGCCCGCAGGGCUCCACGGCGAACAGAGAAACCGGCUGCGCGCAGGGGGCAGAGGAUCGCGCGGGGCCAGGGAAAUGGGUAGGAUCGACCGGCCAUGGAGGGAUAGGAAAAUCCGAGCUGGGCACCGAGGAAGAAAUCCGGCGUGGCAACCGAGAAACUGCGCAGGCCAACAGGGAGCAGCGCACGCGAAGGGAGAGAGACAGGGCGCGCAGAGGCUCACGCGCAGUGAGCCUGAACCCGAGCAGAAGUCCGAGCGCCAUGAGAGCUCGAGACCACUCGCCGGCCAGUACGGAAGCAGGGACGCCGACAUGGAGAAGCUUGACGAGGCGCUGGGCGUGCGUCGCGAGCAGACAGGAGAGCGCCAAGGAGCAUCGCGGCAAGCCAGGCGCGGCAGGGGAGCUUCAGCUGGGCUGGACGCCGGGUAGGAAGCAGAAGGAAGCUUCGGGUGCGCCAUGGCAAGGAACUGGGGUAAAGAGAAGUCCAUGCGCCAGGGAAACAAGGGAGGAGGGAGCGCUCAGGGAGGUACGCCGACGAGGAGAACCAAGGACGCAGAACGACGCCGUGGGAGGAGCCGCUCGGCGAGCUGGAGGAGUACCGCACGCAGGGAAUUUGAGGGAGAGAGAGAGAAGUGCGGCUGGGGAUAAAUCCAGGGGAGGGGGCGGCGGCAGAUAA